rnacentral:rRNA from 1 species
GCUUAACCAUGCAAGUCGAACGAUGAAGCCCAGCUUGCUGGGUGGAUUAGUGGCGAACGGGUGAGUAACACGUGAGCAACGUGCCCGAAACUCUGGAAUAACCACCGGAAACGGUGGCUAAUACUGGAUAUGUGCCAGGGAGGCAUCUCCUCUGGUUGGAAAGAUUUUUCGGUUUCGGAUCGGCUCACGGCCUAUCAGCUUGUUGGCGGGGUAAAGGCCCACCAAGGCGACGACGGGUAGCCGGCCUGAGAGGGUGACCGGCCACACUGGGACUGAGACACGGCCCAGACUCCUACGGGAGGCAGCAGUGGGGAAUAUUGCACAAUGGGCGCAAGCCUGAUGCAGCAACGCCGCGUGAGGGAUGACGGCCUUCGGGUUGUAAACCUCUUUUAGUAGGGAAGAAGCGAAAGUGACGGUACCUGCAGAAAAAGCACCGGCUAACUACGUGCCAGCAGCCGCGGUAAUACGUAGGGUGCAAGCGUUGUCCGGAAUUAUUGGGCGUAAAGAGCUCGUAGGCGGUUUGUCGCGUCUGCUGUGAAAUCCCGAGGCUCAACCUCGGGCCUGCAGUGGGUACGGGCAGACUUGAGUGCGGUAGGGGAGAUUGGAAUUCCUGGUGUAGCGGUGGAAUGCGCAGAUAUCAGGAGGAACACCGAUGGCGAAGGCAGAUCUCUGGGCCGUUACUGACGCUGAGGAGCGAAAGCAUGGGGAGCGAACAGGAUUAGAUACCCUGGUAGUCCAUGCCGUAAACGUUGGGCGCUAGAUGUGGGGACCAUUCCACGGUUUCUGUGUCGUAGCUAACGCAUUAAGCGCCCCGCCUGGGGAGUACGGCCGCAAGGCUAAAACUCAAAGGAAUUGACGGGGGCCCGCACAAGCGGCGGAGCAUGCGGAUUAAUUCGAUGCAACGCGAAGAACCUUACCAAGGCUUGACAUAUACCGGAAACUUCCAGAGAUGGUUGCCCUGCUUGCAGUCGGUAUACAGGUGGUGCAUGGUUGUCGUCAGCUCGUGUCGUGAGAUGUUCGGUUAAGUCCGGCAACGAGCGCAACCCUCGUCCUAUGUUGCCAGCACGUUAUGGUGGAACUCAUGGGAUACUGCCGGGUCACACGAGAAAGGUGGGGAUGACGUCAAUCAUCAUGCCCCUAAGUCUGGGCUUCCGCAU